rnacentral:rRNA from 1 species
AGGACGAACGCUGGCGGCGUGGAUUAGGCAUGCAAGUUGAGCGACGGUAGGCUUUCGGGCUUAUACGGAGCAGCGAACGGGUGAGUAACACGUGAACAACCUGUCCCUACAUUCCGGAUAAUUGGGAGAAAUCCCUUGUAAUACGGGCGAGGGUCCCUGGGGAGCAUUCUCUGGGGAAGGAAGGCGCAAGCCGUGCGGGGAGGGGUUCGCGGCCUAUCAGUUAGUUGGUGGGGUAAUGGCCUACCAAGACGACGACGGGUAGCUGGU